rnacentral:rRNA from 1 species
UACAGAGGUCUCAAGCGUUGUUCGGAUUCAUUGGGCGUAAAGGGUGUGUAGGUGGCGCGCUAAGUCGGGUGUGAAAUUUCGGAGCUUAACUCCGAAACUGCAUUCGAUACUGGCGUGCUUGAGGACUGGAGAGGAGACUGGAAUUCAUGGUGUAGCAGUGAAAUGCGUAGAGAUCAUGAGGAAGACCAGUGGCGAAGGCGGGUCUCUAGUACGGUACUGACGCUGAGACGCGAAAGCGUGGGGAGCGAACAGG